rnacentral:lncRNA from 1 species
AAGUUAUUUUCUUACACAAAUAUCUCCUACUCCAUAUCAUUUGCUAGUUGUUUGAGUGGUUGGAAACCUUGCAUACUCAUAGGCCAUAGCCGAUACUCCACAUUGUACAAUUACCAUUUGUGAAAUAAUUUUGUGAAAAGGAGUUCAAGGAAAUGAUUUUCCAAAUAAACGCUUCUCAUUAAAAAUACUCAUAAGAUGCUUGUGUAUUAGUUUUUUUUUUUUUUUUUUCUAAUUGUGUAUGCUCUUAAGACCUUCGUAUUGCUUCGUUCUAGUUUGUAUUUUGGUGUCGUUUAGGUCUGCCAGUACUGGGCAUCAAUUUGGGCAUUGUGUUGACAGUCGAAUGUUUGAUUGCAUGUUAUGCGACAUGAAUUGAUUAGGGCAAAAGUAGUUAGAAAAAUUUAAAAUUACUGUUUAAUAAUUACUCACAGAAAAAGAAUCAAUAUCUAACAAUUGAAAUCUGAUUAGUUAUAUUAAUAAUUAGAGUUUAACAGAUGCAAUUUAAAAAAAUUAGAUCAGAAUCAUACGGGGAUCAAUCCCGUUUUUGCUUAGUUCGGUAUUACAAUCUCACCCGACUUCAUACGAAAUCAUCUACAUAAUCAUCAGCAUUAUUAUCCGCGUACGCAUCAUUUUUGUAUUCAAUUCUCUUGUCAAUAAGGGGUAAGGAAUUAAAAAGGCCAACUGAAUAAAAGUAACUUCUCACAGCAAAUAUAGGUAGCAGAAUAUAAGAGUUUAACAGAUGCAAUUUAAAAAAAUUAGAUCAGAAUCAUACGGGGAUCAAUCCCGUUUUUGCUUAGUUCGGUAUUACAAUCUCACCCGACUUCAUACGAAAUCAUCUACAUAAUCAUCAGCAUUAUUAUCCGCGUACGCAUCAUUUUUGUAUUCAAUUCUCUUGUCAAUAAGGGGUAAGGAAUUAAAAAGGCCAACUGAAUAAAAGUAACUUCUCACAGCAAAUAUAGGUAGCAGAAUAUAAGGUUGUUUGGUCUGAUGUCUGGUACCAACCACUGAAUAUGAACAAUGAAGAACUCACUUUCCACCCAAAAAAGAAUGGUUUAAAUGACGCAAUAAUUUAAGGAAACAAAAUUAUACUGAAUCUUAUACUAACUACUACAUUCCGAAGUUCUUGCUUAACUCCCAAAUUUAUAAUAUUCAAAACCAAAACUAAGUCGACGAUAUUAAGGAGAGAUAAGUUGAUAAGUCGGCCCCAGAGUCCGAACUUGAAAUUAC